rnacentral:rRNA from 1 species
GACGAACGCUGGCGGCGCGCUUAACACAUGCAAGUCGAGCGAAGCGGCGGACGGGUGAGUAACCCGUGAGUAACCUGCCUUAGACCUUGGGAUAGCCUCGGGAAACCGGGAUUAAUACCAAAUGGUCUAAGAUGGACUCGCGUCCCAUUAGCUAGUUGGUGCGGUAACGGCCCACCAAGGCGACGAUGGGUAGCCGGCCUGAGAGGGGGAACGGCCACAAUGGAACUGAGAGACGGUCCAGACACUACGGGAGGCAGCGGGGGGGAAUAUGGCACAACGGAGGGAACUCUGAGGCAGCGGCGCCGCGGGAAGGAAGAAUGCUUUAGAGACGUAAAGUUCUUUUAUAGGGGAAGCGGUACCAUAAGAAAAAGCCCCGGCUAACUACGUGCCGGCAGCCGCGGUAAUAC